UAAAUAUUUUUUAAAAGUGUAAUUUUAUAAAAAAAUUUAUGGCAACCUUUUAACGUACAGAGAGAGGAAGAGAACGAUUGAUUAGUCGCGGCCUUUGGAUCAAAGCUUUAUUUCGACGCCAUUAGUGGAAGAACUGGAGCAGGCAUAGGAUGAUGAGAAGCAUGUUGGAUGAGAAGAAGAAGGCUGCAGAUCGGUACCUGAAGCGCCAAGUUCUCGGAGAGGGCACAUACGGCGUCGUUUACAAGGCCUUCGACACCAUGACUGGGCAGACUGUUGCCAUUAAGAGAAUUCGGCUUGGGAAUUACAAGGAGGGUGUGAAUUUCACUGCACUUAGGGAAAUCAAACUCCUUAAAGAGCUCAAGGACCCGAAUAUAAUUGAGUUGAUUGAUGCAUUUCCUCAUGAUGGAAAUUUGCACCUAGUGUUUGAAUUCAUGCAGACUGACUUGGAAGCUGUUAUUCGAGAUAGAAAUAUUGUUCUUUCUCUAGCUGAUAUAAAGUCAUAUAUGCAGAUGACAUUGAAGGGGCUUGCAUAUUGUCAUAAGAAAUGGGUUGUUCAUAGAGAUAUGAAGCCAAACAAUUUACUGAUAGGAGAAGAUGGACAGCUUAAAUUAGCAGAUUUUGGUUUAGCACGCAUAUUUGGGAGCCCAAAUCGCAAAUUCACUUACCAGGUUUUUGCUCGAUGGUACAGGGCACCUGAAUUGUUGUUUGGUGCCAAACAAUAUGGAUCAGGGGUUGAUAUCUGGGCUGUGGCUUGUAUAUUUGCUGAGCUUCUCCUUCGCAGACCCUUUCUGCAGGGAUCUAGUGACAUUGAUCAAUUAGGAAAGAUCUUUGCAGCAUUUGGGACUCCAAAACCUUCCCAGUGGCCUGACAUGGUUUGCCUUCCUAAUUAUAUGGAAUACCAGUAUGUUCCGGCACCCCCAUUGCGAACAUUGUUUCCAACUGCAACUGAUGAUGCUUUGGAUCUUUUAGCAAAGAUGUUCACUUAUGAUCCAAGAGCAAGAAUUUCUGCAGAGCAGGCACUGGAGCACAGGUAUUUUUCUUCUUUACCGCUGCCAACUAAACCAGCGGAGCUUCGUAUACCUCCUCCAAAGGGGGAUUCUUCCAAUCCUGAACCCUUAGAUCUUAAUCAACAACAGAGUGGUCCAACUGUACUAUCACCAUCAAGAAAAUUGAGGAGAGUGACACUAGAUCAUGAAAGGAUUUGAUAGGGACAGAUAUCAGAGUUGAGAGUUGUUGAUCUUGUAAACAAUAUCAGACAUCUGGUCAGAGCACAUGCAGGAAUCAACAUAUGCCAGUGUCUAUGGGUGUCUGUGUGUUUGAAUGAAGAUAUCCCUAUAUAUCCAUAAUUUACAGGCGGCCGUUCUGAUGGAUGACAUCUCAAGAGAGAAGUGGAAGUGGAAUUUCCGCAUACAGUGGGGACCUUAAAGGAGGUAAUGACUCUCAGAUUCAACUCUCUACUCAAGAGACUUGCGCACCUUGGUUUUGAAUAAUGUGGACCAAUUCAUUAUCAUACUCAAUAUACAUUUUUAUGUUGUACUGGGUCAUUAUGAAUUCUAAAUGAAGAUCGUCUUUCCUCGUUCCGGACCUUGCUCAUGCCUUCCUACAUGUAUGAUGUAACCCCGCAUUUGCUUAUUUUAAUGGUUGAAAAUUGCCAACUUAUUAAUGAUCAA